AAUUAAAGUUACAUAAUAAUAAAAAGUAAUUUUACUACAAUGGUGUCCAUCAACACAUUCGCCUUUACUUUGGUGUUGCUGAUAAGAUUUAACCACGCAGAGCUGACUUUGGAAGAUUGGCCCGAAGAUUGUAAAGGAAAGUCGUACUGUCGCAUUAAACCAAGGCACUCGUACCCGGAAGAUAAAUUUGAGGAGCUUUUAAAAGGACAG